GAUCCGGUAGUUCAGCUGGUUAGAAUGCCGCCCUGUCACGGCGGAGGUCGCGGGUUCGAGUCCCGUCCGGAUCGCCA
rnacentral:tRNA from 5 species